rnacentral:rRNA from 1 species
AAAACUUUCAACAACGGAUCUCUUNGUUCUGGCAUCGAUGAAGAACGCAGCGAAAUGCGAUAAGUAAUGUGAAUUGCAGAAUUCAGUGAAUCAUCGAAUCUUUGAACGCACAUUGCGCCCCUCGGUAUUCCGGGGGGCAUGCCUGUUCGAGCGUCAUU